rnacentral:rRNA from 1 species
AGCGAACGCUGGCGGCAGGCCUAACACAUGCAAGUCGAGCGGCCGUAGCAAUACGGCAGCGGCAGACGGGAGAGUAACACGUGGGAACGCGCCCUUCGGUUCGGAAUAACUCAGGGAAACUUGAGCUAAUACCGGAUACGCCCUUACGGGGAAAGAUUUAUUGCCGAAGGAACGGCCCGCGUCCGAUUAGCUUGUUGGUGAGGUAACGGCUCACCAAGGCGACGAUCGGUAGCUGGUCUGAGAGGAUGACCAGUCUCACUGGGACUGAGACACGGCCCAGACUCCUACGGGAGGCAGCAGUGGGGAAUAUUGGGCAAUGGGCGCAAGCCUGAUCCAGCCAUGCCGCGUGGGUGAUGAAGGCCUUAGGGUUGUAAAGCCCUUUCAGCGGGGAAGAUAAUGACGGUACCCGCAGAAGAAGCCCCGGCUAACUUCGUGCCAGCCGCCGCAGUAACAC